UUAUAUGCUGAAAAUGAGGUUUGAGAAUAGGUAUUUUAAACUAUUUAUAAUCCUACAGUCGAUUCUAGUCAGAAGUUAUCUGAGCAAAGAGAAAAUAAACAAAGCCUGGCGUAAACAGUCCCAUAGAAAAUAGAACCCACAGCCAUGGGGCUGCCCUUCAAUUUCCCAAUUCAUUCCACUAAGUCUCAUGAUGCAACAUCUGUCACUUUCAUAGGGAAAACAGAAGCCAAGCCAGAUCCUCCAUACUUUAAGAUAUGGUCCCUUAUUAUCUAUUUUAACAGAAGUAUCAAAAAGCGAUUUUUUAAAUUUAUUUAUUUAUUUUUGAGACAGAGUCUCGCUCUGUUGCUCAGGCUGCAGUGCAGGGGCAUGAUCUCCUCCUGGGUUCAAGCAAUUCUUGUGCCUCAGCCUCCCUCCCAAGUAGGUGGGAUUAUAGGCACACACCAGUUACCCUGGCUGAUUUUUUUGCUGUUGUUAUUUUUUGUAGAAAUGGGGUUUCGCCAUGUUGGCCAGGCUGGAAAUAGACACAAUGAAAAAUCAAAUGCUGGAAAAGAAAUACCUAAAAGACAUUGAAAUUAUAAAAAGAAAGCAUGAAGACCUCAAAAGGCUCUAAAACAGAAUGGGGAAACAUCAACAAAAGCGAUAGCCCAUUAUAGUGGACAGCUUACUGCUCUGACAGAUGAGAACACAAUGCUCCGUUCCAAACUGGAGAAGGAAAAACAAAGCAGGCAAAGACUGACGAAAUGGAAUCAUACCAUCGUAGACUGAAUGCUGCUCUACGUGAUCAUGAUCAAAGUCACUCAACAGAAAGAGACCAAGAGCUUGAUGUCCAGGGCACGGUAGAGAAAUUGUGUCAUUUACAGGAAAAUUUGAAUUCUCAUGUUCUGAUUCUUUCUCAACAACUUUCUAAAGCUAAGAGUAAGUUCUGGGUCCUCAAAACUGAGCUCCAUUACACGAGACGCUCUGAAAGAAAGGCUUUGGUUUUUGAACACAUACAAAGAGAGCUAAACCAAACAGUGUCAAAUGAAGGACAUUGAAAAAAUGUACACAAAUGGCCAAGAUAAAGUAGAAAAAUGCACAGAAAAGCAAGUAAGAUUAUGUCAACUACAAAGACAAACUAUGUUGCUUCAACAGCAACUGGAUGAUGUUCACAACAAAGCUGACAAUCAAGAAAAAAUAGUAAUUGAUAUUCAAGCCAAACGUGAUGCUACAGUACAAAAUCUUCAGGCUGAGUGCAUAAAGCACAGUCUUUUGCUAGAAGAGUAAGAGGAUGAUCAAUAAAGUUAAUCAUUUGAAAGAAAAACAAUGUCAAUAUGAAAGAGAGAAAGCAGAAAGAGAAGUAGUUGUGAGACAACUUCAACAAAAACAGAGUGAUGUCCUAAACAAUCAACAAAAGCUUCGCUGGAUGCUUCAUUGCGUCACUGCAUCCGUUGAGGAAGUGAGAUGCAAGAUUCAAGGAAGAAAUUAGGCCAGAUGAGAAUUCAAUUUCAAGAAAAACAGUAUCAACUUACAGCAACUAUGAGAUGUACUAAGGAGACGCAAGGCCACAUACAAAAGCUCGAAACAGAAAAUUCCAUGUUAAGAAAUACAAUUAAAAAGCAAGAUGGCCAAAUUGAGCAGCUUCAGAAAAUCCUGUGAAGUUCAAUGCAGCAGUUGUUGAAAGAAAAUGAAACUACAGAAACAGAUGAAGCUUAUUCUGAAUUUAAAUCUGGAUCCUCUACAGCAGAGGUCCCCAACCUGCAGGCCACGGACAGGUCCAUGACCUGUCAGGAACCAGCUACACAGCAGGAGAGUUACUGUGGAUCUUCUAGAUUAUCUGCAUGCCACGUUUUAAUUUCCACAAAAAACAAAACAAA